AAUCUACAGGUCGAGCAAGUCUCGUAAAUUUCACGAUUGCGAGCCACGCUUCACGCAACCGUGUUUGCGUACUUGUGUUUCAAGUUGCGUGGUCGUACGGAGUUAUAUUUACCAAAUUUAAAUAUAAUCGUUUUCAAAAUUAAAUCAAUAUGUCAAUAUGGCUACUGGGUGUAAAAGAUAAAUCUUAUUCUAUCUGUUCUUAAUGAGUUUUAGAUAAUUUUAGUUGUAUUUCUUUGUAAUUUUGUGUUGUACAAAGAUUAAUUUAACAUUUUCUCUGGAAGUAUUAAUUUAGAAAGAUAAUAUGCUUCAUUGGUGUUGUGUUUUGAAGUGUGAAAUGUGAUAAAGUCAAGAUAAAGUUCACUUUUAAACUGAACUAAAUAAGGUAUCUGAGAGACAACAAUGGUUAAAUGCAAUACAAUGUACAGGUUUUACUAGCGAAAUGAAAAUUUUCCUGUCCUGUCUGCUGUAAUCAUUUUAUAUCUGGAAAACCAGCCGACUUAAUAGAUAAUAACAAUCUCCAGAUUGGGUUCCUUCAAUAAAUAUGGUCUAUAAACACAAUGAAAUAAGUUCCCCAAAAUCUAAAAUGGAGUGGUAUCAAAGGAGAAUUAAAGGGAAAAAUAUUCAUAUUGAAAUUAUUUAUAAGGCACUGGACUGUCUUAAAUUCUACAAUAAUACUAGAAUCAGCUGAGAGAAGUGGUCUACAAAAAAACCAGGAAGGAAACGGAAUAUGUGGCUACGAAAGGCAAAAGAAAGGUUUACAAAGCAAAUGUGACACAUUUUUUUGAAAUAUUUAGGAAUAUCAGUAAAUUGCAUUAAAAAAAUGUAUGAAAAGAUUUUGUUCAAUAAAAAUGUUUAUAUUUAUCAAGGAUGUAUUAUUUGGU